CCUACGGGAGGCUGCAGUGGGGAAUAUUGCACAAUGGGCGAAACCCUGAUGCAGCGACGCCGCGUGAGUGAAGAAGUCUUUCGGUAUGUAAAGCUCUGUCAGCAGGGAAGAAAAUGACGGUACCUGUACAAGUAGCCCUGGCUAACUACGUGCCAGCAGCCGCGGUAAUACGCAGGGGGCAAGCGUUAUCCGGAUUUACUGGGUGUAAAGGGAGCGUAGACGGCAGGGCAAGUCUGGAGUGAAAGUCGGGGGCUCAACCCCCGGACUGCUCUGGAAACUGGCAGGCUGGAGUGCAGGAGAGGUAGGUGGAAGUCCUAGUGUAGCGGUGAAAUGCGUAGAGAUUAGGAGGAACACCAGUGGCGAAGGCGGCUUACUGGACUGUAACUGACGUUGAGGCUCGAAAGCGUGGGGAGCAAACAGGAUUAGAUACCCCGGUAGUC
rnacentral:rRNA from 1 species